GUCUGUUUGAAGGUAUAAACAGUCUAGCCUGCCCACUGAUAAAUAUUAAAUGGCCGCGGUAUCUUGACCGUGCAAAGGUAGCAUAAUCGUUAGUUUCUUAAUUAGGAUCUUGUAUGAAUGGUUGGACGAAAGAAAAACUGUCUUUAUAAUUAAAAUAGAAUUUAACUUUUAAGUGAAAAGGCUUAAAUAUAUUAAAGGGACGAUAAGACCCUAUAAAGCUUUAUAUAAUUGAGUAUUAAAUUAAAUUUUAACAAAUAUAAAAAUUUAAUGUAAAAAUUAUGUUUCAUUGGGGCGAUGAAAGUAAAAUGAAUAAUAACUGCUUUAUUUUAAACCAUUAAUAUAUGAAUAAUAUGAGACUUAAAAGAUCCUUACAUAAAGAUUUUAAGAUUAAGUUACUUUAGGGAUAACAGCGUUAUUUUUUUUGAGAGUUCUUAUCGAAAAAAAAGUUUGCGACCUCGAUGUUGAAUUAAAAUUUCUCUAUAAUUGUAGGUGUUAUAGAAGAAGGUCUGUUCGACCUUUAAAUUUUU
rnacentral:rRNA from 1 species